rnacentral:tRNA from 1 species
UCCCUGGCAGUCCAGUGGCUAGGAGUCUGCACUCCCAAUGCAGUGGGCAUGGGUUUCAUUCCUGGUCAGGGAG